AUACGUAGGUGGCAAGCGUUGUCCGGAUUUACUGGGUGUAAAGGGCGUGUAGCCGGGUCUGCAAGUCAGAUGUGAAAUCCGCGGGCUUAACCCGCGAACUGCAUUUGAAACUGCAGGUCUUGAGUAUCGGAGAGGUCAUCGGAAUUCCUAGUGUAGCGGUGAAAUGCGUAGAUAUUAGGAAGAACACCAGUGGCGAAGGCGGAUGACUGGACGACAACUGACGGUGAGGCGCGAAAGCGUGGGGAGC
rnacentral:rRNA from 1 species